CUUGGUCAUUUAGAGGAAGUAAAAGUCGUAACAAGGUCUCCGUAGGUGAACCUGCGGAGGGAUCAUUACAAGUGACCCCGGUCUAACCACCGGGAUGUUCAUAACCCUUUGUUGUCCGACUCUGUUGCCUCCGGGGCGACCCUGCCUUCGGGCGGGGGCUCCGGGUGGACACUUCAAACUCUUGCGUAACUUUGCAGUCUGAGUAAACUUAAUUAAUAAAUUAAAACUUUUAACAACGGAUCUCUUGGUUCUGGCAUCGAUGAAGAACGCAGCGAAAUGCGAUAAGUAAUGUGAAUUGCAGAAUUCAGUGAAUCAUCGAAUCUUUGAACGCACAUUGCGCCCCUUGGUAUUCCAUGGGGCAUGCCUGUUCGAGCGUCAUUUGUACCUUCAAGCUCUGCUUGGUGUUGGGUGUUUGUCUCCUGUAGACUCGCCUUAAAACAAUUGGCAGCCGGCGUAUUGAUUUCGGAGCGCAGUACAUCUCGCGCUUUGCACUCAUAACGACGACAUCCAAAAGUACAUUUUUACACUCU
rnacentral:rRNA from 1 species